CAAGAUGAGGGUGGCGAUGGUCAGUUCUUGAGCUUCAAACGAGCAAAAAGCUAAACAACAAGAUGAGGGUGGCGAUGGUCAGUUCUUGAGCUUCGAACAAGCAGAAAGCUAAACAACAAGUGGAGGGUGGCGAUGGUCAGUUCUUGAGCUUCGAACGGGCAUAAAGCUAAACAACAAGAUGAGGGUGGCGAUGGUCAGUUCUUGAGCUUCGAACGGGCAUAAAGCUAAACAACCAGAUGAGGGUGGGGAUGGUCAGUUCUUGAGCUUCGAACGGGCAGAAAGCUAAACAACAAGAUUAGGGUGGCGAUGGUUAGUUCUUGAGCUUCGAACGGGCAGAAAGUUCCCCAUGUCCACCUACACAACAAGAUCAGGGUGGCGAUAGUCAGUUCUUGAACUUCAAACGGGCAGAAAGCUAAACAACAAGAUGAGGGUGGCGAUGGUCAGUUCUUGAGCUUCGAAUGGGCAGAAAGCUAUACAACAAGGUCAGGGUGGCGAUGGUAUGUCGGUCAGCUUGGAACGGGCAGAAAGGAGGAGGCCAGCUGAGACACUCUAGUUGUGGUGAUGAAAGUUGGGCAAUGAUGAAUACAAGCAAAAGGCUGUGCAAAGAAUUUCCAACCACAACCCUGCAGACCGGGAGCCAAAUGAACAGGAUCUCGACCAGCUUCAAUUACAUCUGAACAUGUUUCUGUAAGGAAGAGUGGACAAGGUACCUGGACAUUACAAGAACACUCCGCAUGCACGCACAUGCAUACGGUUUUUUUGUGCUUGUUAGCCCGCACACUGCUUGGCGUUUUAGAAUACAGUCAACUUCGCUAAUAACGACUGCGGAUAUAACGACAAUUCGCGAAUAACGACAGAAUUUCUAUGCCCAGAGCAAAGUCACAUCCAACUGUAAUACAUAUAAUGGGACUUCGGGUAUAACGACACUUCGCGAAUAAGGACACUUUUCUGAUGCCCCGCCGAGUAUCGUUAUACACGAAGUUGACUGUAUACAUAUGCCUUGUGUUACUGUGCAGAUACAUAGUGUCUGGUAUAGCGAAAUAUGACAAGCACUUGAUUGUAUUGUGAUGAGUGGCCUUUUGGAUUAUAAUGGAACUUGUACUUCACUCCUAUGAAUAAGAUACUGCCAGGCUGUCAAGGA